GAUGAACGCUGGCGGCGUGCCUAAUACAUGCAAGUCGAGCGAACAGACGAGGCGCUUGCUCCUCUGACGUUAGCGGCGGACGGGUGAGUAACACGUGGAUCACCUCCCUAUCAGACUGGGAUAACUUCGGGAAACCGGAGCUAAUACCGGAUAAUAUAUUGAACCGCAGGGUUCAAUGGUGAAAGACGGUUUUGCUGUCACUUCUCGAUGGAUCCGCGCCGCAUUAGCUAGUUGGUAAGGUAACGGCUUACCAAGGCAACGAUGCGUAGCCGACGUGAGAGGGUGAUCGGCCACACGGGAACGUAGACACGGUCCAGGCGCCUACGGGAGGCAGCAGUAGGGAAUCUUCCGCAAUGGGCGAAAGCCUGACGGAGCAACGCCGCGUGAGUGAUGAAGGUCUUCGGAUCGUAAUACUCUGUUAUUAGGGAAGAACAAAUGUGUAAGUAACUAUGCACGUCUUGACGGUACCUAAUCAGAAAGCCACGGCUAACUACGUG
rnacentral:rRNA from 1 species